AUGACGCUUCUCUUGCUGCAUGCCUUGCUGCUUGCCAGUGCAGCUGCGGCAGCAGCAGCAUCUGAGGCCGGCGACGCUGCAGGCGGCAACGCCACCACGGCUCAAGGCCUGUGCAACGGCGCCGGAUGCCAGCCACCACCGCAGCCGCUGCCGAUCUACGGUGGCCCUCCUCCAUCGCCGCCAUCAACGACACCGCCCUCACCGGGCAUGCAGGGACCGUGCCCGCCGGCGACACCCGUUUGCUGCGGCGGCCAAAACACGCCUCAGCAGCCGUACUACCAGGCGCCUCCGAUCAGCUACCUUCCCUACUACAACGAGUCUGCUUCUUCAGUGCUCGUGCCACCGACUCCCGUCGCCGCCGUUGCCUAUUACGUGAUCUUACCAUGUCUCUUGCUUUGGGUUGUGAACUCACCGAAAUCCGUCGCCGCACGUUGGAAGAAGUCGCCGCACGCCGGUUCAAAUUGCGGGCGGCUCGACCUCCACUGCCGAAGCGAGGCCAUUUACGAGCAGGACAGAGCAGGCCACAGGCGGGGCGGCACCGGAGAAGGCGGGGGAGGUCAAUCAGGGACGGCCAGGCGCACCAAGGAGCGCGCGCUCGGGGCGGGUGGCACAGGGCUCCACCACUGCACGUGUGGCCGGGAACGGGUGGCGCCGAGGCGAGGAGGGCGGCGCAAAAAGCUAUAUCCCAAACUUGCAAAACUUGACUCCACCAUACCCCAACUUGCACCUCAUAUGAUGAUUUAG
rnacentral:rRNA from 1 species